rnacentral:snoRNA from 1 species
CUGGCCUGAAUCAAGGCCAGCAGCUUCCUGAUGCUAUUGGUUUCAAGCAGGAGCCUAAAGAGAUGUCUUUCUAUGGUCUGUUGGCCAUUUCAGAACUUGGGCAGUGAAAUGGUCAAUUCAUUAGAAACAGCUUGAA